ACCUUGAUGAUGCUGCUCCGGCGGGGCAGGCCGCCCGGCUUGUUGAGAGGGUAGGCAGCUGGGCUGGGGCUCGCAGCGAGCACCCCACCGUGAGGUCCCGUGGCGGGGCUGACCCGAGAUGUGAUGUUUGCUUCCAGCUCUCCCCGCGCGCGGUGAAAGUCGUGACGGCAGAAUGGAAAGAUUCCUGCAGGGGAGAGAAGAGAGACCCAAGUCAGCUCUGGUGGCGGCGGAGCCGGGGCUCUGGGCACCUGGGGAAGGAAAACACGCCCAGACACACAUGCAGCCGCGGGCGCCAAAAAUAACCCGCGCGCGCCGGGUGCCCACCCCGGGUUCCAGGCACCCACCCCAAGGAGUCACUGUAUACUCCCAUGCCUACAGGAGCCAGGCACAUAAUGCAGCGAGCAAAGCUGGGAGGAUUUGUUUCAUAAGAGAUGCAUAAUUUAUACUUUUUCAACAGUGAUGUAUUUCCAUAUCAAAUACAGAGGGACACUCUUCCUGAGUCAUCUUCGGUUUUCCAAUCCUGAAAAGAGCCUUUGAUGAUACAAGAAAUAAAGAAAUAUUUCACUUUCCUCUCAACUCUAAGAAAGACAAUGUGAACAUAAUGAUAAAUAGCAGCUGACACUCAGCCAGGUGUGGCACAGCAAUACGGAGUGGUGGGGAUUCAGAUAACCCGGUGAGGAAUCUUACUGCUGCCAGGAUUGUCUUAUUCUUCCAGAGAAGUAAGCAGUCUGGAAUUUAAAACUUGUUAAUAUGUUAGUUCAUUCCCUUAAUAGAAGAUCACUCACUAA